UCUCCCCAGCCAGGCCUUUGUAUCGGCAGCUCCUGCGAAAAGAAAACAAAACAGGAUGAAAAGAUGAUAGUUCCUGCUGCCCACAGAUCCCUUGUUGGAGUUCAAAUGACAUCCUUGUGUACAUCAGUUUAUUGCCUUUUGUUGAAAGUAAUUUCUUGGCUUCAAGUCCUUGAAAGUCACGUACACUUGAACAGAGACGUCUUCUAUUUAUAUCUCUUGUUGAGGUGGAAGUGUGGCACCAACGCACGUGCACCGCCGCACCGAUGUAAACACACCCACCUCUGGGUUGGCCUGCCCAGCCCAGCACCAGUGUUUUGAAAAAAAAUUGAAGGCCGUGGUUCCCCCAUGUCCUAACCAGCCCCCAAAAACACUGAAGAAGAAGCAGUGCACAUCUUCAUAUUGCCCAGCUAUACACGUUCAGACACCAAUACCCCUCCAGAUUAUAUCAGAAUGUGUCCUAUGGGGCAGGAUGAAGCCCUGGUCCACAUAGUGGGGCAGUACCCCUGGCUCUAUGACAAGAGCAAUGAGAAUUACAAAGAUCAGGCCAUGAAACGCAAUUCAUGGCGUGAAGUAGCCACGAGAGUAAACAUGAAUGAGGAGCAGUGCAGGAAACGCUGGCAGUGCCUUCGAGACCGCUAUGUGCGUACGAGGAGGGUUAAUGAGAGGCCACUCCCCAGUGGGUCCGGGGCAGAAGCUGUGCCCAAAAAGAAAUGGGAAUUGUACCCAUUAUUGGAUUCCCUGCUGCACCGCGUUGUAGAUCAUUGCUCCAGCCAUCAUCAACACUGCGAAUCCCGCACGGAGCCCACGCAGCAUGCGCCUUGUUGCUGUCACAGUUCAACACUCACAGGGGGUAACAGUUUCCAACUGGGGGCAGCGAGGUCACAACACAUAGAAACUUCAUCAUCUUCACCAUCACCCAUCAGCACACCAUCCUCAACACCGGACCUCCUAGAUCCCACAGAGAUAUUAAUGAUCGAAGAAGAUAGUGGGUCAGGACCGACUGCCCUGUCAUCUGCGGUGUCCGGUGCCGGGGAGAAACAAACGCAUAAAGUAUUGUCAGCACGCAAGAAGAUGCAUUUGGAGCCCCAGCCCUGGCAAGUGGACCUUGUGAAGGCACUCUCUGUGAACAAACAGGAGGUGCCCGGACCAGCACAAGCCGCUGGACAAUACCUAACAAGUGCCCUGCUCAGCAUCCAAGACCCCACUGAAAUGGCACAAGCUGUGACAGAAAUAAUUGCAUUUAUAAAUGAAAAGGUUUAUAAAACAAAAGCGAAAGUGUAAAUGGA